rfam:Hordeum vulgare subsp. vulgare, WGS project CAJW01000000 data, contig: morex_contig_41308
UUUAUACUCCCUCCGUCCCAAAAUUCAUGUCUUAGAUUUGUAUCUAGUCACAUUUUAGUAUUUAGAUACAUUCAUUUUUAAAUAAACCUAAGACAAGAAUUUUGAGACGGAGGGAGUAAGAU